rnacentral:rRNA from 1 species
GUAAAGCACUUUCAGUCGUGAGGAAGGUAGUGUAGUUAAUAGCUGCAUUAUUUGACGUUAGCGGACAGAAGAAAGCACCGGCUAACUCCGUGCCAGCAGCCGCGGUAAUACGGAGGGUGCGAGCGUUAAUCGGAAUUACUGGGCGUAAAGCGCAUGCAGGUGGUUUGUUAAGUCAGAUGUGAAAGACCCGGGGCUCAACCUCGGAAUAGCAUUUGUAAACUAGGCAGACUAGAGUACUGUAGAGGGGGGUAGGAAUUUCAGGUGUAGCGGUGAAAAUGCGUAGAGAUCUGAAGGAAUACCGGUGGCGAAGGCGGCCCCCUCGGACAGAUACUGACACUCAGAUGCGAAAGCGUGGGGAGCAAACAGGAUUAGAUACCCUGGUAG